rnacentral:rRNA from 1 species
UGCGUAGGCGGGUCUUUAAGUCAGGGGUGAAAUCCUGGAGCUCAACUCCAGAACUGCCUUUGAUACUGAGGAUCUUGAGUCCGGGAGAGGUGAGUGGAACUGCGAGUGUAGAGGUGAAAUUCGUAGAUAUUCGCAAGAACACCAGUGGCGAAGGCGGCUCACUGGCCCGGUACUGACGCUGAGGCACGAAAGCGUGGGAGCAAACA